AGAGUUUGAUCAUGGCUCAGAACGAACGCUGGCGGCGUGCCUAACACAUGCAAGUCGAGCGCGAAUGGAGCAAUCCUAGUAGAGCGGCGCACGGGUGCGUAACACGUGGAUAAUCUGCCUGGGUGUCUGGGAUAACCAGUCGAAAGAUUGGCUAAUACCGGAUAAGCCCCCGGGAGCUUCGGCUCUUGAGGGAAAAGGUGGCCUCUGUAUACAAGCUAUCACAUCCAGAUGAGUCCGCGGCCCAUCAGCUAGUUGGCGGGGUAAUGGCCCACCAAGGCAACGACGGGUAGCUGGUCUGAGAGGACGAUCAGCCACACUGGAACUGAGACACGGUCCAGACUCCUACGGGAGGCAGCAGUGGGGAAUUUUGCGCAAUGGGCGAAAGCCUGACGCAGCAACGCCGCGUGUGUGAUGAAGGUCUUCGGAUUGUAAAGCACUUUCGACCGGGACGAAAACCCCUUGGCUAACACUCAAGGGCUUGACGGUACCGGGAGAAGAAGCACCGGCUAACUCUGUGCCAGCAGCCGCGGUAAUACAGAGGGUGCAAGCGUUGUUCGGAAUUAUUGGGCGUAAAGCGCGUGUAGGCGGCUUUGCAAGUCGGGUGUGAAAGCCCUCAGCUCAACUGAGGAAGUGCGCCCGAAACUGCAGAGCUUGAGUGCCGGAGAGGGUGGCGGAAUUCCCCAAGUAGAGGUGAAAUUCG
rnacentral:rRNA from 1 species